GACGAACGCUGGCGGCGUGCCUAACACAUGCAAGUCGAACGGAGUUGACCCUUCGGGGUUAACUUAGUGGCGAACGGGUGAGUAACGCGUGAGAAACCUGCCUUUCAGUGGGGGACAACAGUUGGAAACGACUGCUAAUACCGCAUAAUGUCAUUUGGGGGCAUCCCCGGAUGACCAAAGAUUUAUUGCUGAAAGAUGGUCUCGCGUCUGAUUAGCUAGAUGGCGGGGUAACGGCCCACCAUGGCGACGAUCAGUAGCCGGUCUGAGAGGAUGAACGGCCACAUUGGGACUGAGAUACGGCCCAGACUCCUACGGGAGGCAGCAGUGGGGAAUAUUGGGCAAUGGGGGAAACCCUGACCCAGCAACGCCGCGUGAAGGAAGGAGGCCUUCGGGUUGUAAACUUCUUUUACCAGGGACGAACACAAUGACGGUACCUGGAGAAAAAGCAACGGCUAACUACGUGCCAGCCGCCGCGGUAAAAC
rnacentral:rRNA from 1 species